rnacentral:rRNA from 1 species
AACGCUAGCUACAGGCUUAACACAUGCAAGUCGAGGGGAAACGAUAUUGGAAGCUUGCUUCCGAUAGGCGUCGACCGGCGCACGGGUGAGUAACGCGUAUCCAACCUGCCCAUCACUUGGGGAUAACCUUGCGAAAGUAAGACUAAUACCCAAUGAUAUCUCAAGAAGACAUCUGAAUGAGAUUAAAGAUUUAUCGGUGAUGGAUGGGGAUGCGUCUGAUUAGCUUGUUGGCGGGGUAACGGCCCACCAAGGCGACGAUCAGUAGGGGUUCUGAGAGGAAGGUCCCCCACAUUGGAACUGAGACACGGUCCAAACUCCUACGGGAGGCAGCAGUGAGGAAUAUUGGUCAAUGGGCGAGAGCCUGGACCAGCCAAGUAGCGUGCAGGAUGACGGCCCUAUGGGUUGUAAACUGCUUUUAUAAGGGAAUAAAGUGAGCCUCGUGAGGCUUUUUGCAUGUACCUUAUGAAUAAGGACUGGCUAAUUCCGUGCCAGCAGCCGCGGUAAUACGGAAGGUCCGGGCGUUAUCCGGAUUUAUUGGGUUUAAAGGGAGCGUAGGCCGGAGAUUAAGCGUGUUGUGAAAUGUAGAUGCUCAACAUCUGCACUGCAGCGCGAACUGGUUUCCUUGAGUACGCACAAAGUGGGCGGAAUUCGUGGUGUAGCGGUGAAAUGCUUAGAUAUCACGAAGAACU